AUUCUUACCUGGUAGGGGAAAUACCAUGAUGACAAGUGUGGUUUUCCCAGGGCGAGGCUCAUCCAUUGCACUCUGGAUAUGCUGACCCUUGCGAUUUCCCCAAAUGUGGGAAACUGCACUGCAUGAUUUGUGGUAGUGGGGAAAAUCACCUGAUUUUCACCAA
ensembl:snRNA U1 U1 spliceosomal RNA